AAAUCUCACUUUCCAGAUGAUACCAGCCAUCACUUUUAGCGCUUUCUAAUUGAGUCCUUAAAGGACCACUAUAAUGCCAGGAAAACAUACUCGUUUUCCUGGCACUAUAGUGUCCUUGGGUCCCCCUCGCCGGGCUCUAGGGGCAUGAAGGCGGUUAAUCCCUUACUUUUUUUCCAGCGCCGGGCUCCCUCGGGCCUGGGGACUCUCCUCCUCCUUUCCCCGUCAUCGGCU